UACAGAGGGUGCGAGCGUUAAUCGGAAUUACUGGGCGUAAAGCGCGCGUAGGCGGCUUUGCAAGUCGGGUGUGAAAUCCCCAGGCUCAACCUGGGAACUGCAUUCGAGACUGCAUUGCUAGAGUAUGGGAGAGGGAAGUGGAAUUUCCGGUGUAGCGGUGAAAUGCGUAGAUAUCAGGAGGGAUACCGAUGGCGAAGGCAGGUCUCUGGGCUAUAACUGACGCUCAUGCACGAAAGCGUGGGGAGCAAACAGG
rnacentral:rRNA from 1 species